rfam:Calothrix sp. PCC 6303, complete genome.
GGUCAAAGGAAUAAGGGCUGACGGUGGAUACCUAGGCACGCAGAGGCGAAGAAGGACGUGGUUACCUACGAAAAGUUCCGGGGAGUUGGAAGCAAGCGUUGAGCCGGAAAUGUCCGAAUGGGGCAACCCAGAAUACUGCCACCUGAAUAUAUAGGGUGGAAAGAGCGAACCUAGCGAACUGAAACAUCUUAGUAGCUAGAGGAAAAGAAAUCAAAAGAGAUUCCCAAAGUAGUGGUGAGCGAAAUGGGAAGAGCCUAAACCAGAAUGCUUGCAUUGUGGGGUAGUGGGACAACGAGAUGGAAUCGGAAGGUUAGACGAAGCAUUGAAAAGAUGCACCAGAGAAAGUGAGAGUCUUGUAGUCGAAAGCUGAAAGAUACUAGUUGAAUCCCGAGUAGCAUGGAGCACGAGAAAUUCCAUGUGAAUCAGCGAGGACCACCUCGUAAGGCUAAAUACUACUGCGUGACCGAUAGAGAACAAGUACCGCGAGGGAAAGGUGAAAAGAACCCCGGGAGGGGAGUGAAAAAGAACAUGAAACCGUCAGCUUACAAGCAGUGGGAGUCUGAUUAAACGGAUGACCGCGUGCCUGUUGAAGAAUGAGCCGGCGACUUAUAGGUACUGGUGGAUUAAGCUAUUAAGUAGCGAAGUCAAAGGGAAACCGAGUCUGAGAAGGGCGUUAAUCAGUAUUUAUAGACCCGAACCCUGGCGAUCUAACCAUGUCCAGGAUGAAGCUUGGGUAACACCAAGUGGAGGUCCGCACCGACUGAUGUUGAAAAAUCAGCGGAUGAGGUGUGGUUAGGGGUGAAAUGCCAAUCGAGCCAGGAGCUAGCUGGUUCUCCCCGAAAUGUGUUUAGGCGCAGCGGUUACGAAUAUAGCUUGGGGGUAAAGCACUGUUUCGGUGCGGGCUGGGAGACCGGUACCAAAUCGAGACAAACUCAGAAUACCAAGUGAACAUGUAGCCAGUAAGACGGUGGGGGAUAAGCUUCAUCGUCAAGAGGGAAACAGCCCAGACCGCCAGCUAAGGUCCCCAAAUCAACGUUAAGUGGCAAAGGAGGUGGGAGUGCACAGACAACCAGGAGGUUUGCCUAGAAGCAGCCACCCUUGAAAGAGUGCGUAAUAGCUCACUGGUCAAGCGCUCCUGCGCCGAAAAUGAAUGGGACUAAACGUUGUACCGAAGCUGCGGACUUGUAUUUAGGUAUAAGUGGUAGGGGAGCGUUCUAUAAGAAGAGAAGCAUUAGCGGCAAGCAGGUGUGGAUUUUAUAGAAGUGAGAAUGUCGGCUUGAGUAGCGCAAAUAUUGGUGAGAAUCCAAUACCCCGAAACCCCAAGGGUUCCAGAGGCAGGUUCGUCCACUCUGGGUUAGUCGGGUCCUAAGGCGAGGGCGAACGCCGUAGUCGAUGGACAACGGGUGAAUAAUCCCGUACUAAUUUAUGUUUGUGCAGAGGGACGGAGAAGGUGAAUGUCAGCCGGAUGUUGGUUACCGGUUUAAGUGUCAAGGUGUUGAGAGACGGAGAAAACGUCUUGAGUUGAGGCAUGAGUACGACCUGCUACGGCGGGGAAGUGGCAUAAUCUAGCUUCCAAGAAAAGCUCGGUGGCACGUUAAGCAUAAAUUACCCGUACCCGAAACCGACACAGGUGGGGAGGUUGAGUAAACUAAGGGGCGCGAGAUAACUCUCUCUAAGGAACUCGGCAAAAUGGCCCCGUAACUUCGGAAGAAGGGGUGCCCAUAGCAAUAUGGGUCGCAGUGAAGAGAUCCAGGCGACUGUUUACCAAAAACACAGGUCUCCGCGAAGUGUAAUCACGAAGUAUGGGGGCUGACGCCUGCCCAGUGCCGGAAGGUUAAGGAAGUUGGUCAGGGUAGAAAUAUUUGAAGCUGACGACUGAAGCCCCGGUGAACGGCGGCCGUAACUAUAACGGUCCUAAGGUAGCGAAAUUCCUUGUCGGGUAAGUUCCGACCCGCACGAAAGGCGUAACGAUCUGGAUGGUGUCUCGGAGAGAGACUCGGCGAAAUAGGAUUGUCUGUGAAGAUACGGACUACCUGCACCUGGACAGAAAGACCCUAUGAAGCUUUACUGUAUCCUGGAAUUGGGUCCGGGCUUGGCUUGCGCAGGAUAGGUGGGAAGCGUAGAGUAUAUCCUUGUGGGGAUAUAGGAGCUAACGGUGAGAUACCACUCUGGCGAAGCUAGGAUUCUAACUGAUGACCAUAAUCUGGUCAGAGGACAUUUUCAGGUGGGCAGUUUGACUGGGGCGGUCGCCUCCCAAAAGGUAACGGAGGCGCGCAAUGGUUCCCUCAGCACGGUUGGAAAUCGUGCGGCGAGUGUAAAGGCAAUAAGGGAGCUUGACUGCAAGAGAUACAUCUCGAGCAGGUACGAAAGUAGGUCUUAGUGAUCCGACGGCGCAGAGUGGAAUGGCCGUCGCUCAACGGAUAAAAGUUACUCUAGGGAUAACAGGCUGAUCUCCCCCAAGAGUCCACAUCGACGGGGAGGUUUGGCACCUCGAUGUCGGCUCAUCGCAACCUGGGGCGGAAGUACGUCCCAAGGGUUGGGCUGUUCGCCCAUUAAAGCGGUACGUGAGCUGGGUUCAGAACGUCGUGAGACAGUUCGGUCCAUAUCCGGUGCAGGCGUUAGAAUAUUGAGAGGAGCCUUCCUUAGUACGAGAGGACCGGGAAGGACGCACCGCUGGUGUACCAGUUAUCGUGCCAACGGUAAACGCUGGGUAGCUAUGUGCGGAGUGGAUAACCGCUGAAAGCAUCUAAGUGGGAAGCCCACCUCAAGAUGAGUAUUCUUUUUACUUUAAGUAAGUAAGGUCACGGGAAGAACACCCGUUGAUAGGCUCGAAGUCGAAGUUCAGUAAUGGAUGUAGCUCACGAGUACUAAUAGACCGAGGCUUUGACCUU